AGAGUUUGAUCCUGGCUCAGAAUCAACGCUGGCGGCGUGCCUCAGACAUGCAAGUCGAACGAUUAAGACUCUCUUCGGAGAGUGUAUAGAGUGGCGCACGGGUGAGUAACACGUAGGUAAUUUGCCUUCGGGUGGGGAAUAACUUGGGGAAACCCAAGCUAAUACCGCAUAAUGCAGCGGCACCAAAUGGUGACAGUUGUUAAAGCUUUAUGUGCCUGAAGAGAAGCCUGCGGUGGAUUAGGUAGUUGGUAAGGUAAUGGCUUACCAAGCCUGCGAUCCAUAUCCGGUCUUAGAGGACGGUCGGACACACUGACACUGAAUAACGGGUCAGACUCCUACGGGAGGCAGCAGUCGGGAAUUUUGGGCAAUGGGCGAAAGCCUGACCCAGCAACGCCGCGUGAAGGAUGAAGUCCUUCGGGAUGUAAACUUCGGAAGAAUGGGAAGAAUAAAUGACGGUACCAUUUUUAAGCCCCGGCUAACUCCGUGCCAGCAGCCGCGGUAAUACGGAGGGGGCAAGCGUUGUUCGGAUUUACUGGGCGUAAAGGGCGCGUAGGCGGCGCAACAAGUCACUUGUGAAAUCUCCGGGCUUAACUCGGAACUGCCAAGUGAUACUGUAGUGCUAGAGUGCAGAAGGGGCAAUCGGAAUUCUUGGUGUAGCGGUGAAAUGCGUAGAUAUCAAGAGGAACACCAGAGGCGAAGGCGGAUUGCUGGGCUGACACUGACGCUGAGGCGCGAAAGCUAGGGUAGCAAACGGGAUUAGAUACCCUAGUAGUCC
rnacentral:rRNA from 1 species